AAUUAUUAAGAAAAAGAGGGGUCACAGUCAGUUACAGAUUGAACUCUUUGUUCUACUACUUUCCCCCGUGCUCACUACUGCAUUUGACUAGUCUUAA
rnacentral:sRNA from 1 species